rnacentral:rRNA from 1 species
UACAGAGACUGCAAGCGUUGUUCGGAAUUACUGGGCGUAAAGGGCUCGUAGGCGGCCAACUAAGUCGGAUGUGAAAUCCCCAGGCUCAACUUGGGAACUGCAUCCGAUACUGGAUGGCUUGAAUUCGGGAGAGGGAUGCAGAAUUCCAGGUGUAGCGGUGAAAUGCGUAGAUAUCUGGAGGAAUACCGGUGGCGAAGGCGGCAUCCUGGACCGACAUUGACGCUGAGGAGCGAAAGCUAGGGGAGCAAACGGG